AUCCUUUUGUGGUUCAUAAAGAACUGGGUUUCAUGCUAAUGCGUGACAUGUGACUCCCUCAAACCAUGUUACCUCUUGGGCUCACUGGCACAUUACCAUCUGAGG
ensembl:snoRNA